rnacentral:rRNA from 1 species
GACGAACGCUGGCGGCGUGCUUAACACAUGCAAGUCGAGCGGUAAGGCCCUUUCGGGGGUACACGAGCGGCGAACGGGUGAGUAACACGUGGGUGACCUGCCCUCAGCUCUGGGAUAAGCCUGGGAAACUGGGUCUAAUACUGGAUAUGACUCCACGGUGCAUGUCGUGGGGUGGAAAGCCUUGUGCGGCUGAGGAUGGGCCCGCGGCCUAUCAGCUUGUUGGUGGGGUGANGGCCUACCAAGGCGACGACGGGUAGCCGGCCUGAGAGGGCGACCGGCCACACUGGGACUGAGAUACGGCCCAGGCUCCUACGGGAGGCAGCAGUGGGGAAUCUUGCGCAAUGGGCGAAAGCCUGACGCAGCGACGCCGCGUGAGGGAUGACGGCCU